rnacentral:misc_RNA from 1 species
UGUCUUGUUUAUGAAUUUAAAUGAAGCAUGGCUGUUUAUAAGUGGGUUGCAAGAAGAAGAGGAAACUUGAAUCCUUUAUAGUAGCAGCAGGCUUUAUUCUAAUUGAUUUAAAAAUUGGCAUGAAAACUAAAUUAAUUAAAUUUUUUUAAUUAAUAUUUUGAUUUGAAAGAAUUUAUAACUUAUAAAUUAACUAAAAGUUAAUUCAUAAUUCUUUUUAUAUGAUGACUCAAUAAGUAAUUUAAAUCAAUUUAUAAUUUAAAUUCUUUCAAAAAUUAAUAAAAUUUAAAACAAAUUGAAUUCAAAUCUAAUUUCUUGAACUACUAUUGUCAAUUGUUUUGUGAACUACUACAGUUUGUUUCUUCAUAUUUUUGGAUAUAUAUAUUGAUUUGAUCAUCCUUGAAUUGGGGGGGAUUGUUCCUUCUAAGAUGCUAAAGCUGCAAUUGAAUGAGUUGAUGGUGUUUCUUUUAUUUACAUUGGUUCAUUAGUUAAAUAUAUAUGUAUAAUUUGAGUUGUUAGUUGAAUAUGUAUGUAUAAUCUGAGUUGUGGAAACUAGCUGGUUUAUGGUCAUGAUUGGAAAUGUCUUCAACACUAGCACUAUAAUAUUCAGAUAUAUGCUUAUCAUUGAGCUUAGUUUCCAAUUAACACAUUAAUGCUUGAAGUCCUUUAUAUUGAACUAAUAUUUGCUACUACUGAUA